AUUGAAGCUCGAUUGUGAUAUUUUAUAUAACGAUAAUGAUAUAAAAUAAUAAUUUUACGACACAUUGCACGAAGGAUCAUAUAAAAUAUAACUUCGUCAAAUAAUAAAACAAGGAUUACGGGAAAGUUCCAGAUGCUCGUAAACAUUGGUUUAUAGUUUUUCCCAGGACUUUGGUCGGACGAGACCUUUCGUACCCUUUUAUGGCCACACCAUUAUCAUGGAAUCUUGUAAAUGUUUGAACAACCACCCCAAAGAAGUUCUACCAUGUCGCGGCGGCUAUCGCGUGGCUGCAUGUGGAAUAUUUUAGUAACCAGUAUAGAGACA